rnacentral:rRNA from 1 species
UAGGGAAUCUUCCGCAAUGGACGCAAGUCUGACGGAGCAACGCCGCGUGAGUGAAGAAGGAUUUCGGUUCGUAAAACUCUGUUGUUAGAGAAGAACAGCGCAUAGAGUAACUGUUAUGCGUGUGACGGUAUCUAACCAGAAAGCCACGGCUAACUACGUGCCAGCAGCCGCGGUAAUACGUAGGUGGCAAGCUUUGUCCGGAUUUAUUGGGCGUAAAGCGAGCGCAGGCGGUCAAUUAAGUCUGAUGUGAAAGCCCCCGGCUCAACCGGGUGAGGUCAUUGGAGGCUGGUUGACUUGAGUGCAGAAGAGGGGAGUGGAAUUCCAUGUGUAGCGGUGAAAUGCGUAGAUAUAUGGGGGAACACCAGUGGCGAAGGCGACUCUCUGGUCUGUAACUGACGCUGAGGUUCGAAAGCGUGGGUAGCAAACAGG